AUGGCCUCUGCCUCUUGCCUUGGCUUAGUAGUGCUCGUGGCAAUGGCCUCCGCGGCGUCGGCGCAGCUGUCGUCGACGUUCUACGACACGUCGUGCCCCAACGCGCUGGCCACCAUCAAGGCCGGCGUGACGGCCGCCCUGAACACCGAAACCCGCAUGGGGGCGUCGCUGGUCCGGCUGCACUUCCACGACUGCUUCGUCGAUGGAUGUGACGGGUCUGUUCUGUUGGCGGACACGGGGAGCUUCAUCGGCGAGCAGGGCGCAGCCCCGAACAACAAUUCCAUUCGUGGCAUGAACGUCAUCGACAACAUCAAGACCCAGGUGGAGGCCGUGUGCAAGCAGACCGUCUCCUGCGCCGACAUCCUCGCCGUCGCCGCCCGUGACUCCGUCGUCGCGCUGGGUGGGCCGACAUGGACAGUUCUUCUGGGGAGGAGGGACUCCACCACUGCAAGCAAGACCAACGCGGAAAAUGACCUGCCACCUCCUACCUUCGACCUCCAAAACCUCACCACCUUGUUCGGCAACAAGCAGCUCAGCAUGACAGACAUGGUUGCCCUCUCAGGCGCCCACACGAUCGGGCAAUCGCAGUGCCGGUUUUUCAGGGACAGGAUCUACAACGAGACCAACAUCAACACCACCUUCGCGACAUCUCUCAGGGCCAACUGCCCCCAGUCCGGCGGCGACAGCAGCCUGGCGCCGCUGGACACAGCGACGCCCAAUGCGUUCGACAACUCCUACUACACCAACCUCAUGUCCCAGAAGGGGCUGCUUCACUCGGACCAGGUGCUGUUCAAUGGCGGCGGCGCCGACAACACGGUCAUGAGCUUCGCGACCAGCGCGGCCACGUUCAACAGCGCCUUCACGACGGCCAUGAUAAACAUGGGAAACAUCGCGCCAAAGACGGGGACGCAGGGGCAGAUCAGGCUCGUCUGCUCCAAGGUCAACUCGUAA
rnacentral:rRNA from 1 species